UGAAAAAGAAGAGACCUGUUAUCUGCUAUAUGAGGUCUGCUCAAACCAUAACCCCUAUUUCUUUCUCCCUUCCAUGUACCAGCGCAAAAAAAAAAACGAAUCCUUUAAUUUCAGAUCUAAUUGUAUUCCCAGCGCUCAUUCAUCUCAAACUUCUCACUCCUUUAUUCUCAAUCAAAACCCCUAAUUUAUAUUAUUGCAGAUCACCAUUUUCAGAAGCUCAUCGAAAUUCAAUAAAAGAACCCUAAUUUUUGAAAUAUGAAUCUCAAUUUCUCACUUUAAUUGAUGCAAAAGUUUCCAAUUUUUCCAUUUAAAAGUGUAUCAGCCUUGGAGGUUUCAUAUGGGGAGUCAAUUCGCGGAGCUCAAACAAUAGCUAACAGAGCAAGAGAUGAAUCGCAAGCUAAAAGAAAAGUUCAAUAAAUUUUCGCCUCUUGAGUUUCCUGACAUAUGAAGUUGCAAGGAAACAUUUGUCACUGGCCUGUCUUCAUUUACUAGCUAGACUGGUUGCCUGCAGAAAUUGACUCAAUUUUAGGUUUCUUCAAGAGAUGUUUUUACUUUUUGUUUCAAAAAAUAAUAUGUACUUCAUCAUUUGCUCUGUUCCUUAUCCUGGUUGCAGGCCAGUUUUGGCCUUGCUUGUAGUUUGCAGAGGCUAUCUAAAUUGCAAUAAGAAAGACUUAUCGUUUGCAUAGUUAUAUGUUUUGGUCUUCUUGACCAUGAGAGAUGAGUUUGAGUAAGGAUAAGGAGUACUCGAGGAUUUUGCCAAAGUUGAUGAACUUGUGUCAAUAUCAGAUGAACAUUCGGGGAUGUAGUGUGUGGUAGUUUAGCAAAUUCUUUAUGGCGGAAACACAUACAUUUUAAUGUAUUAGCCUCUAAACUCAUACUGUUAAUUUCAACUUCAGAUUGUUCCUGCUGCUAGCCAUCGACUUUGCUUGAUCUUUUAUGAUGCAGGUCCUAAGAAAAACUCUCUAAAUUUAUAUCUUCAGAUAGUUUUCCAUAGCAAUAGAGUGCUUGGUUCUUGAGCUCGGAAGAUGGAUAUUGGGUUUUUCUAUGGCCAUUGCAGACUACAUAGUUAAUGUCACCAUUAUUAAUGGCGUACUUGAAUGCUAAAAUGCUGUUAGAGAAGGAGCUGCCCUUAACAUCAGAAAUUGUGUGGUGUGAAUGGUAGGACACUUUGAUUUGAUAGAAUAAUAAAUAUUACAAAGGAUAAUCCCUUUUGUACUACACUAACUAAAUGUAUUAAUGCUUGUCGUGCUACAUGUACAAUGUGGAUUGCUGAGGAGCUUUUACAGCGAUAACAAAGGGAAUUUUGGUGUCCUGCUCUGCUAGAAAUACUGGACCCGACUCUAGCAGCUUGUCAAAUGUUGCUCCAUGGAUAACCACUGUGGGUGUUGGUGAAAUCGAUCGUGAUUCCCCAACCUAUGUUAUCCUAGGAGAUGGCAGGAAUUUUACCGGUGCAUAACUUUCCAGUGUUUUCUGAAGAAAGUUAUUCAUCGGAAAAUGUGGAUGAGGUUAGACACAUGUGGGUCGAGUAUUUUCUCAAGCAAAAAGCGGACCAAGAAAACAAAGUUGAUGGUAUGGAAAUAACUCCAUGAGUUUUGGUUUCAAUUGUUGGUAAAUUGGUGUGAAUGAUUAUAUUUUGGAAUUGAUUUUUGUUUUACGGUUUUGGGAAUCGCGAUGUAAAGUUUGACGCUUAUGCAAAUCACAGUUUAUGUAAAGCUUGCGUUUUGAGCAUUACUUGUUGGAAAUAUUUUUUUUGGUAAUAUAUGGAUUAUGGAGUUGUUCUCGAA